rnacentral:lncRNA from 1 species
GAGAUGCAGAUAGGAUGAUGGAACUCACGGACAGGGGAACAAAGGUCUGGAAAUUCGGAAUGUCAUACUCCACAUUUUGCAUUUUUGACUCUUUCUAUCCAUAUACUUUAUUCUUCUUAGUGCAGUCUCAUUGUCUCUGGUUCUCAGUUCACACACAAAAAAUAUGGCUACUGACAGUUCUGAAGUUUAUAGUUUUUUCAGUUCAAGAGAUUCAUCCCAAGUCCAGAUUGUGAGAGAAGGGACAUGCAUUGGACAAGACCAGGCCAGGUGCCCAUGCCUGUGGGGUCAGGUGCCCAUGCCUGUGGGGCCUGCAUAAACAUGGCUGCUGGGAGCCAUCCCUGCAACCAGGUACAUGCAGGAGAAGUCAUUCUCAGGAAAAGGUGAGUGUGGGACCAGGCAGGGAAGCCAGUUUCUGUCCUUUAUUUGGAACCAUAAUCAAGGCAGACAACCACAGUAAAGAGAUGCAGAGGCAGGGAGUAGUGUAAAACCACCUUACACACAGCUUCCUGGCUUUCCCUUCACUUUAGGUUGUAGCUCAAGUUAUUCUUGGGCUAAAAAAUAAGCUCUGUUGGCCCAAUUAAACCAGAAUUAAUCACCAAUUCCCCAUCUUUAUCUGGUAAUUUUAGUUCAACAUUGCUCAGCUGAUGGCUCAUUAAGCCAAGAACUCUCCCAGGUCUCAGUUACCAUUUUCAGACAAGACACCUCCUGGGGUGCCUGCCCUGUGGUCUGAAGCUCAAGAUGUGGCUCUGGGUCUCCCUUCCUGAGGGCUAGCUACCCAGAAGGGCUGGUGUGACUUCCUCUUGAAUGGGUGAGCUGAAGGCAUCCAGGGCACCUAGGGCAACUAGUGCAUAAAUACUUGAAGGGGAAAGGACUCUCAUGUUCUGAUUUGAGUAUCAUUUCCUUGGGUUGAAUAAUUAGAGCCUGGCAUGUGAGAUGUGGAGGGCUUCAAAGACCAUUUGAUUUUCAACAGAAAACGGUCUAUGGUUUUCUAAAACGACACACCCUGAUUCAGCCCAAGGGAAACAGAAUGUCUGUGGGUGAGGCCAGGAAUCUGCAUUUUAAGUAAGUCCUCCAAAUGACUCCAGUGCCCAAGCAGAGUUGAAGUCCACUGAUGUAGGUGGCCCAACUUUCUAGUUUUAUACAUGAGGCUACGCAAGUCCAGCAAGGUUCAUUUCAGUUGAGAAGAAAAACCAUUGAUUAAAAUAAAAAAAAAAAACCCUAAAAACUUUAAACUGAUGAAUUCAUGUGUUUGCACCUUUUGAACCCGGUUCACCAAGUGGUUCUCUUUGUGAGGCAGGAGAAGUAGCAGGCCACUUGCAGCUCCUCUCUCUGUCUGAUGGGAGACCAGGUCCUCCCUGGGAAAAGUAGCAAGUUCUCUCCUGCUGGCCUCCUUCCACAGAUCACAGCUGCCUUUGGGGAGAAUGACAAAAACUGUUCAGGGUUCCUGGGUAAUACGUAUCCAGUUUCUGUGCAUUCAGGGGAAGAGGAGCGUGGAGCAGAAGGAGAGUGGGCACAUGCAAGUCACUCUGAUGCCGUCAUUUAACUUUACAGCUCCGUUGUGCAAAGCUGUUUACAGAAAGGUUGGGGUGAAACUCUCCACUCCUGCUUUCAUACCAUUUGAAGUUCAGACCAGUGAGAUUUCCAUCAGUUGGGAGUUGAAGAUGCCACAAGGACAAGAACUGAGGAUGGUUUGCUCAGAGCUGAUUUUUAGACACCAUUUUCCAGGGAUCCCUGGUGACAGAGGAGCAUUUUUUUUGUGGUUGAGUUCUGAAUUAAAAAGUGUCGUACUA